rnacentral:tRNA from 1 species
GGCGGGAUAGCAAAACGGUCAUGCAGCAGCCUGCAAAGCUGCGUAAGUUGGUUCAAUUCCAACUCCCGCCUCCA